rnacentral:tRNA from 1 species
GGUGCCAUAGCUCAGUUGGUAGAGCAUCGGACUGAAAAUCCGUGUGUCCCCGGUUCGAAUCCUGGUGGUACCACCA